AUUGAACGCUGGCGGAAUGCUUUACACAUGCAAGUCGAGCGGCAGCACGGGGCAACCCUGGUGGCGAGCGGCGAACGGGUGAGUAACACAUCGGAACGUACCCUGUCGUGGGGGAUAACGAGUCGAAAGAUUCGCUAAUACCGCAUACGACCCGAGGGUGAAAGCGGGGGAUCGCAAGACCUCGCGCGACUGGAGCGGCCGAUGGCGGAUUAGCUAGUUGGUGGGGUAAAGGCCCCACCAAGGCGACGAUCCGUAGCGGGUCUGAGAGGACAGCCCGCCACACUGGGACUGAGACACGGCCCAGACUCCUACGGGAGGCAGCAGUGGGGAAUUUUGGACAAUGGGCGCAAGCCUGAUCCAGCCAUGCCGCGUGAGUGAAGAAGGCCU
rnacentral:rRNA from 1 species